rnacentral:rRNA from 1 species
UGGGGGAUAUUGCACAAUGGGCGCAAGCCUGAUGCAGCGACGCCGCGUGGGGGAUGAAGGCCUUCGGGUUGUAAACUUCUUUUGCUCUGAACAAGGCGCACUUUGGGGUGUGUUGAGUGUAGGGGUUGAUUAGCGCCGGCUAACUACGUGCCAGCAGCCGCGGUAAUACGUAGGGCGCGAGCGUUGUCCGGAAUUAUUGGGCGUAAAGGGCUUGUAGGUGGCUGGUUGCGUCUGUCGUGAAAGCUCAUGGCUUAACUGUGGGUUUGCGGUGGGUACGGGCUGGCUUGAGUGCAGUAGGGGAGGCUGGAAUUCCUGGUGUAGCGGUGGAAUGCGCAGAUAUCAGGAGGAAUACCGGUGGCGAAGGCGGGUCUCCGGGCUGUUACUGACACUGAGGAGCGAAAGCAUGGGGAGCGAACAGG